GUUAAUAAUGUUCGCUGCUUUAUCAAAGACAUUCUCAAGUGAAACUGACUUUUUUUUUUUUUACUGCCCAUGUGUGGUGAUGAACUCAGCCACUGCUCCCACAGCUCGAUGUCGCUGCCCUGCGUUGUGUAGAUGCAAUCACAGUUUUACCCACGAUCAGUGAAAACAUCAACAGUGAAAAAGAUAAAUUUGCCGAGAAUAACUCAUCAUACAUGUGAUUCAGCGAUAUUAAAGAGAGGCCGAGAAAGUAGGUUUGGAAUCAGGAAACCUGAAAUUCCACCUCAGUUUCACCACUUACCGGCAUCUUGAUCAUGGACAAAUGACAUACUCUCUGUUAACUUCAGUUUCCUACCUGUUGUCUCCCUCGGAGGAGCAUGGUCAAGACGGCACUCUAGGAAGCUGAAUUGGAUGCUGACUGCUAAUUCCCUCCAUCCACCAUAACCAGGUAUGCAGUGCAUUUCAAGGAAGAUUGGGACCUUCCUUGGCUAAUUUUGUUUAUGCAUGGAAAUGUACAUCUCACAUAUCUGUGAAUCCAUGAUAUAUUCUAAGACAAUGGCCUCUUGGUCUUUUAGUAGACUUCAGCUCUUAACAGAAACUGUGCUCUACUCAUCUUUGGAACAUGGUGUCUAGUACUGUGUCUUGUCAAAUGAAUGAAUGUAUGAAUCAACAAAUCGGUGAAUGAUCGAAAACCAA
rnacentral:lncRNA from 1 species